rnacentral:rRNA from 1 species
UGGAGAGUUUGAUCCUGGCUCAGGACGAACGCUGGCGGCGUGCCUAAUACAUGCAAGUAGAACGCACAGUUUAUACCGUAGCUUGCUACACCAUAGACUGUGAGUUGCGAACGGGUGAGUAACGCGUAGGUAACCUGCCUGGUAGCGGGGGAUAACUAUUGGAAACGAUAGCUAAUACCGCAUAAUAUUAAUUAUUGCAUGAUAAUUAAUUGAAAGGUGCAAUUGCACCACUACCAGAUGGACCUGCGUUGUAUUAGCUAGUAGGUGAGGUAACGGCUCACCUAGGCGACGAUACAUAGCCGACCUGAGAGGGUGAUCGGCCACACUGGGACUGAGACACGGCCCAGACUCCUACGGGAGGCAGCAGUAGGGAAUCUUCGGCAAUGGACGAAAGUCUGACCGAGCAACGCCGCGUGAGUGAAGAAGGUUUUCGGAUCGUAAAGCUCUGUUGUAAGAGAAGAACGGGUGUGAGAGUGGAAAGUUCACACUGUGACGGUAUCUUACCAGAAAGGGACGGCUAACUACGUGCCAGCAGCCGCGGUA